rnacentral:rRNA from 1 species
AAACGAUGAAUGCUAAGUGUUGGAGGGUUCCCCUUCAGUGCUGCAGCUAACGCAUUAAGCAUUCCGCUGGGGAGUACGGCCGCAAGGCUGAAACUCAAAGGAAUAGACGGGGGCCCGCACAAGCGGUGGAGCAUGUGGUUUAAUUCGAAGCUACGCGAAGAACCUUACCAGGUCUUGACAUACUAUGCAAAUCUAAGAGAUUAGACGUUCCCUUCGGGGACAUGGAUACAGGUGGUGCAUGGUUGUCGUCAGCUCGUGUCGUGAGAUGUUGGGUUAAGUCCCGCAACGAGCGCAACCCUUAUUAUCAGUUGCCAGCAUUAAGUUGGGCACUCUGGUGAGACUGCCGGUGACAAACCGGAGGAAGGUGGGGAUGACGUCAAAUCAUCAUGCCCCUUAUGACCUGGGCUACACACGUGCUACAAUGGAUGGUACAACGAGUUGCGAACUCGCGAGAGUAAGCUAAUCUCUUAAAGCCAUUCUCAGUUCGGAUUGUAGGCUGCAACUCGCCUACAUGAAGUCGGAAUCGCUAGUAAUCGCGGAUCAGCAUGCCGCGGUGAAUACGUUCCCGGGCCUUGUACACACCGCCCGUCACACCAUGAGAGUUUGUAACACCCAAAGUCGGUGGGGUAACCUUUAGGAACCAGCCGCCUAAGGUGGGACAGAUGAUUAGGGUGAAGUCGUAACAAGGUAACCA